UACGAAGGGGGCUAGCGUUGCUCGGAAUUACUGGGCGUAAAGGGAGCGUAGGCGGAUAGUUUAGUCAGAGGUGAAAGCCCAGGGCUCAACCUUGGAAUUGCCUUUGAUACUGGCUAUCUUGAGUACGGAAGAGGUAUGUGGAACUCCGAGUGUAGGAGUGAAAUUCGUAGAUAUUCGGAAGAACACCAGUGGCGAAGGCGACAUACUGGUCCGUUACUGACGCUGAGGCUCGAAAGCGUGGGGAGCAAACAGG
rnacentral:rRNA from 1 species